rnacentral:misc_RNA from 1 species
UGCUUCUUUUCCAGUAUUAGAUGGGAAUGAAGAUUUAGAAACACUUUGCAUGAAUUGUUGGGACAGCACAAAGGGUUGACCACCAUCACCCCCAAUCAUUAUUUUCUUGUCCCUGAGGUAGCUAAAAGCUGCAAAAAGAUCGCGCUCCGAAUAACGCCGCAAAGUUUCUGCUAGAUGAUUUUGCAGAUCUGGUGCCCCUGAGGUGCACAAGAAGACAAGCUUCAAAAGCU